AGCAGCAGCCGCGGGAAUACGGAGGGUGCAAGCGUUAUCCGGAUUUAUUGGGUUUAAAGGGUCCGUAGGCGGACUUAUAAGUCAGUGGUGAAAGCCUGUCGCUUAACGAUAGAACUGCCAUUGAUACUGUAAGUCUUGAGUAUAUUUGAGGUAGCUGGAAUAAGUAGUGUAGCGGUGAAAUGCAUAGAUAUUACUUAGAACACCAAUUGCGAAGGCAGGUUACCAAGAUAUAACUGACGCUGAGGGACGAAAGCGUGGGUAGCGAACAGGAUUAGAUACCCCCGUAGUCCCUGUCUCUUAUAC
rnacentral:rRNA from 1 species